GACGAAGGACCCGAGCGUUAUCCGGAUUCAUUGGGUUUAAAGGGCGCGUAGGUGGAUUGAUAAGUCAGUGGUGAAAUCUCCGGGCUCAACCUGGAAACUGCCAUUGAUACUAUUAGUCUUGAAUUCUGUUGAGGUGGGCGGAAUAAAUCAUGUAGCGGUGAAAUGCAUAGAUAUGAUUUAGAACACCAAUUGCGAAGGCAGCUCGCUAAACAGAUAUUGACGCUGAGGCACGAAAGCGUGGGGAUCAAACAGG
rnacentral:rRNA from 1 species